UCAGGAAGUAGUUUAAGAAAAAUUUAAAUUUUGGAGAUUUAAGAUGGUGAAUUAUCUUUCCUGAA
rnacentral:tRNA from 1 species